AGUACACAGCAGGUGAGUUCAUAGCAGAUAUUUUCUCUUUGCGCCCUGAUAGAGAAACAUCUGUCGCUACCUAGGAUUGAACGCUCAACCUUCCGAGGGAGAGGCACGCAUCUUCACCUCUAAGUCAUCACGUCACUCA